rnacentral:rRNA from 1 species
UGCUAAUCCGGAGCUAAUACCGGAUAAUCCUUUCCCUCACAUGAGGGAAAGCUGAAAGACGGUUUCGGCUGUCACUUACAGAUGGGCCCGCGGCGCAUUAGCUAGUUGGUGAGGUAACGGCUCACCAAGGCAACGAUGCGUAGCCGACCUGAGAGGGUGAUCGGCCACACUGGGACUGAGACACGGCCCAGACUCCUACGGGAGGCAGCAGUAGGGAAUCUUCCGCAAUGGACGAAAGUCUGACGGAGCAACGCCGCGUGAACGAUGAAGGCUUUCGGGUCGUAAAGUUCUGUUGUCAGGGAAGAACAAGUACCGGAGUAACUGCCGGUACCUUGACGGUACCUGACCAGAAAGCCACGGCUAACUACGUGCCAGCAGCCGCGGUAAUACGUAGGUGGCAAGCGUUGUCCGGAAUUAUUGGGCGUAAAGCGCGCGCAGGCGGUUCCUUAAGUCUGAUGUGAAAGCCCCCGGCUCAACCGGGGAGGGUCAUUGGGAAACUGGGGGAACUUGAGUGCAGAAGAGGAGAGCGGAAUUCCCCCUUGUAGCGGGUGAAAUGCGUAGAAGAUGUGGAGGACCCCCAUUGGCCGAAGGCCGGUUCUUUGGUCUGUAAUCGACGUUGAGGCCCCAAAGCGUGGGGAGCAAACAG